rnacentral:rRNA from 1 species
UACGGAGGGGGCUAGCGUUGUUCGGAAUUACUGGGCGUAAAGCGCACGUAGGCGGCUUUGUAAGUUAGAGGUGAAAGCCCGGAGCUCAACUCCGGAACUGCCAUUGAAACUGUUGGACUUGAGUACGAGAGAGGUGAGUGGAAUUCCCAGUGUAGCGGUGAAAUGCGUAGAUAUCAGGAGGAACACCUGUGGCGAAAGCGGCUCACUGGACCAUAACUGACGCUGAUGACACGAAAGCUAGGGGAGCAAACAGG